rnacentral:rRNA from 1 species
AUACGUAGGGGGCGAGCGUUGUCCGGAAUUACUGGGCGUAAAGAGCUCGUAGGUGGUUUGUCGCGUCGUCUGUGAAAUUCCGGGGCUUAACUCCGGGCGUGCAGGCGAUACGGGCAUAACUUGAGUACUGUAGGGGAGACUGGAAUUCCUGGUGUAGCGGUGAAAUGCGCAGAUAUCAGGAGGAACACCGGUGGCGAAGGCGGGUCUCUGGGCAGUAACUGACGCGGAGGAGCGAAAGCAUGGGUAGCGAACAGGAUUAGAUACCCUGGUAGUCCAUGCCGUAAACGGUGGGCGCUAGGUGUAGGGGUCUUCCACGACUUCUGUGCCGUAGCUAACGCAUUAAGCGCCCCGCCUGGGGAGUACGGCCGCAAGGCUAAAACUCAAAGGAAUUGACGGGG